GCACAGAGAGGGAGAGAGAGGAACAGAGAGGGAGAGAGAGGGAGAGAGGACAAAACAGAGAUGGAACAAGAGCAGAUCCUGACCUUCAGUCCGGAGCGUCCAUGGGCCUCCUGCUGCCAGGAAACCAGAUCCCGAGCGUUUAGUGAGACAGGAUCAGUUCGUGCGGUGCGAACGGGGCCAACUAAACGGUCUAUUUCUGUUUAAUCCUGACUUCCUGUUUGGCUCCACCACCGUUGUAAGCGAUGCUGCCGGAAAAAUCUGCUGCUGCUGGACGAGCGGGGAGCAGGACGGCUCGGAUCCCCCGUACACCUGCAGGAUUUGGCUCCGAUGUGGAAACAGGGAUCAGGAAUAUUUAUACACGCUUACAUAACCAGCCUCGCCAUUCAACAUCCAGAUCAGUGUUUCUGUACCACUAUCUCACACACACGCCUCCCCCAUCACCUCCCCCUCUGCAGAGGAGAUACCAGUGCUCUUAGAAACUCCCCUGGUUGCCUAGCAACUGGUCCUGAGGAUUGCCAAAGAGACAGAGAUCAUUCGUCUGUUAUGAGUGGGUAAUAUGAUAUUGUGUAAGUGGGGGUGUGAGCUUUCACGUCCAUGUUUGUGAGGACCGACUGAAGUUUUUUUGGAACCAAGCACGUUUGAGGGCUCAGCUGUGACGAGUCGGGACGCCGUCCACGUCUGCCCUCGACCAUCACACGUCGACACGACUGUUCUGCAUUGAGAUGAAAACAAAACACAUCGACCGCCGAGGAGUCCGUCUUCGCAUCAUAACGAGUCUCAUAUCGAGGCUGACGGAGAUAACCACGCUUUCGGACGUGAUGGAGGCUCAGGCGGUGACGAGGACGCGGAGAGCUGAAUGAAAUCAGCCCAGAUCGAACUUCCUGCUGCUGAUGGUAUCUGCUGUGUGAGCUGCUGGUUUUAUUACAGGGAACAGCGGGCGCGAGGGAAAGGUCGCCCUGCAGACAUUGUUUUCUCGUUCCCGGCGGCCUGUGGGUCAACAAAUAUCGACUGGGCCGCUUCCUGUUAUACGACUGAAACCGUGUUCAGGAGAGAGGACGCGAGCAGGCGGGCAGAGGGAGGUGAACACAAAUGAACGUUAAUGUUACAGUUUGGCUACAACGAACACGUGACAUACGUGAACUGUCUGCAGAGUUUAUCUCCUGUUGGUUACAGCUGCAGCACAUUCAGCACGAAGCUGUGAGGCAGCCGCCGGUGCAAAAGGAGGGAAGGAAGUAAAAGAAAAGAAAGAAAGGAGGAAGUAAAGGAAACUAUGAAAGGAAAAGGAAAGGUAAAUGAAGAAAAGAUGGAAGGAAGGAGGCGAAGAAUGGAGAAUGAAUAAAAAAAGAACAAAGAGAAAAGGAAAAAAGGAAAAGCAGCA
ensembl:lncRNA